rnacentral:lncRNA from 1 species
CCGUUUCCUCCACGCCUCCGUCCCGCCCUCCUACUGCUUUUACUUUCUACGCAUUUCUAUUUCCUCUUUUAUUUAUUUAUUUGUGAUAAACUUAAAUGACCCGGCGAUGGAGGCGGUACUCUAGGAGAAGGCUGAGGAUGACGAAGCGGCGGCCUGGGGCCAAUUGUCGAGAGGCCUGCGGGUUUCAGUUUUAACCAUCACACUGUGGUCUGCUUGUCUGACUCCCUUGAUACAAUGUGCUGUCCAUUUUUCGGGGCCCGAGAGUGGCAGCAGCAGAGGCCAAGGAAGGUAUGGCAAGGGUGUCAUCUACUGAACUGUUCAGACGCAACUGAAUUGAAAAGGAGAUGAACAAAAGAGCACGAUACCUCAACAAAAAAAGUAAAAUGGAUUUUAUCGUACUUAGAAAAUCAACAAUUGCAGUCUGGAUUCAAACAUCACUGUUUGAUGCACCCAACUUGAGUCAAAAGAUGCUUCAACUCCCACUAUGCUGGAGAUUACAGACAUACCACAAGAUGAUGACUCACACAUCAGAAACAUAACAGAGACCUGGAGCCUGAAAGCACUCGUUCAAAGUCUUCUAGCAACAGAAAUACCUUACAUGCACAGCUCAGGUAUUCAUUUUUUUGAAGUCUUUUAUUUCUUUAUAAC